rnacentral:tRNA from 1 species
GAGCCUGUCUGGCGUAAUAAGAACUGCUAAUUCUUCAUAACCAUGGUUCAAUUCCAUGGCUGACUCA